rnacentral:tRNA from 1 species
UGGAGAGGUGGCAGAGUGGUUGAUUGCAUCGGUUUUGAAAACCGACGUAGUUGAAAGACUACCGGGGGUUCGAAUCCCCCCUUCUCCGA